rfam:Gossypium hirsutum cultivar TM-1 chromosome 13, whole genome shotgun sequence
AAACCAUGAUGAGGUCACCUUCUCAAUAAGUCCUUGAAUCUCUCUCAUGCAUCAUAUAAUGUUUCUACAUUGAUCUGGGCAGAGGAAGAAAUGUCAUUCCUCAACUU